rnacentral:rRNA from 1 species
CGAGGCACUACGGUGCUG